ACCAGGUCUUGACAUCCCCUGCAAAGCUAUGGAGACAUAGUGGAGGUUAUCAGGGAGACAGGUGGUGCGUGGUUGUCGGUCAGCUCGUGUCGUGAGAUGUUGGGUUAAGUCCCGCAACGAGCGCAACCCUUAUUGCUAGUUACCAUCAUUAAGUUGGGGACUCUAGCGAGACUGCCAGUGAUAAACUGGAGGAAGGUGGGGAUGACGUCAAAUCAUCAUGCCCCUUAUGACCUGGGCUACAAACGUGAUACAAUGGCUGAAACAAAGGGCAGCGAAGGAGCGAUCUGGAGCGAAACCCAAAAAGCAGUCUCAGUUCGGAUUGAAGUCUGCAACUCGACUUCAUGAAGUCGGAAUCGCUAGUAAUCGCGGAUCAGAACGCCGCGGUGAAUACGUUCUCGGGGUUU
rnacentral:rRNA from 1 species